UCAUUGUGUUUUUUUUAUUUUUUUUUUCAGUUUUCAGUUUUUGUGAUUUUUCGUUUUUUUGUUGACUUAAGUGGGCUGAUUUCUUGAACUUCUCGUAACAGGAGGGUCGAAGAAAUGGUGAGAGCCAAAAGAGAGUUUACUAUAAGAGUGAUUUUUUGUCCAUCGUGAAAAUUGUAUCGAAUCCCAAUUAAAUUGCACCAGUUCGAGUAGAGGUUGUGACCGGAAGAUAUUGGAGUCCAAAUGAGUACAUCAUACAAAUAAAUGAACCAAAAAGGCCAGUUAAAAUAGAUUGAAACAAGGAUUAAGGUUGCAACCUUGCGGGCAGCGCAGCAGCUGCUGCUUGAAGCUUAGGCAGGCAAAUACAGGCAUGUGACAUGGGCCAAAAUGUCAUGUCACGGACCAUUUUAGCUUGCUACUUGGGCUCCAGCCUUCGUCGGGAAUUGAGGCUUGGUUCCAUGGGGGCACGAGCAGAGUAUGCUCGAUCUAUUUAUGGGCCAAUCCAUGGGUCUUCCAAUCCAGGGAGCCGAAUUAACAUCCCUACCUAAGAGUGUAGCCGUUGACUAUCCCGAGAGAAGAAAUAACCCUUAAAUAGCUAUUUUAAGCAACUUGUACAGUUGAGGCUGAUGGUCGAAGGAAGAUUGAAGGUGGCCUUCUGCAUUUUUAGGUGGAUAGUUUGCUUCUUCUUCUGCAUCGGUAGCUGAUUAUGUGCACAGAAUAAACAGAACUUUAACUAUGAGCAUGAGAUAAAAAUGUAUAACGUAAUAAACGUAAAGUAAUAACGAACUAAGCUUCGUUCUUGAUUAAUUUGGGAUCGAUUAUGUAAACUCUUUCAUCUUUCGAUUCGAUUCGAUUUAUUGCUAGAUAUGCCAGAACCCUCUUAUUUUUAGCCAACAAUCAUUAAUCUGAAAUGUCAACCGUUUGUUUUCUGGAUGGGAGACAGUAAUAAUGAAUAAUUGAACUUUUUCAUUGGCUUC